rnacentral:tRNA from 1 species
UGUUCUAUGGUGUAAUGGUUAGCACUCUGGACUCUGAAUACAGUGAUCUGAGUUCAAAUUUUUGUAGGACCU